GAUGAACGCUAGCGGCAGGCCUAACACAUGCAAGUCGAGGGGCAGCACAGAAACAGCAAUGUUCUGGUGGCGACCGGCGGACGGGUGCGUAACGCGUAUGCAACCUACCUUUAACAGGGGGAUAACGGAGAGAAAUUUCCACUAAUACCCCAUAACAUCGAUCAAGGCAUCUUGAUUGGUUGAAAACUCCGGUGGUUAAAGAUGGGCAUGCGUUGUAUUAGGUAGUUGGUGAGGUAAAGGCUCACCAAGCCUACGAUACAUAGGGGGACUGAGAGGUUAGCCCCCCACACUGGUACUGAGACACGGACCAGACUCCUACGGGAGGCAGCAGUGAGGAAUAUUGGUUAAUGGGGGCAACCCUGAACCAGCCAUGCCGCGUGCAGGAAGACGGCUCUAUGAGUUGUAAACUGCUUUUAAACAGGGAUAAAGCACAGUAUGUAUACUGUGUUGAAGGUACUGUAAGAAUAAGGAUCGGCUAACUCCGUGCCAGCAGCCGCAGUAA
rnacentral:rRNA from 1 species